GAUGAAGAACGCAGUGAAAUGCGAUAAGUAGUGAGAAUUGCAGAAUUCCGUGAAUCAUCGAAUCUUUGAAAGCACAUUGCGCCCCCUGGUAUUCCGGGGGGCAUGCCUGUCCGAGCGUCAUUGCUGCCCUCAAGCACGGCUUGUGUGUUGGGCCCCGUCCUCCGAUCCCGGGGGACGGGCCCGAAAGGCAGCGGCGGCACCGCGUCCGGUCCUCGAGCGUAUGGGGCUUUGUCACCCGCUCUGUAGGCCCGGCCGGCGCUUGCCGAUCAACCCAAAUUUUUAUCCAGGUUGACCUCGGAUCAGGUAGGGAUACCCGCUGAACUUAAGCAUAUCAAUAAGCGGAGGA
rnacentral:misc_RNA from 1 species